AUUUUUCCACUGAGGUGGAGUGUUGCAAUUAUAGGAAUAAAGAUAAAAUAUCAAUAUAAUUGCUUCUCAUGGACAGGCAAGAUCAAAGUCAUCGAAAAAAAAAUGUAAGCAAAUCCUUAAUAAUUCCUCGUUAUUAGAAGUUAUAAAGAUAGCUAGAGCAAAUGAAGUGCUUGUUGCAUGUGUUUGUUGGUUUAUUUGUUUUGUUUUUUUGUGAAAAUCUCGCAUCAUCAUUAAAAUGCUACUCAAGUAACAAAGUUGUCAAAGAAGAAACUGACGAAGUGUUGCCGGCAUUCUCAAGACCAGUGAUUGAAAAACCAUGCCCUUUUUCAUCGACGAAUGCAAAGUGUGCGACCGUGAACUUUCUUUUUGAGUGGCAUAAGAAUAACAAGAAAACAACAUUACAUGGCGAAACAAGACUGUGCUCUACAAAGUCGAAUUGUAGCGUGUGUGUUCCCAAAUCUUUCAUACAGAACCCGGAGUAGAACUUUCAUGCAAGUCUACUUGUUGUACGACAGAACUCUGCAAUUCAGGAAAAGUACAUUAUCCUCAGUCAGCAUUUACUCUUCUCAUGGCAAUGCUUAGCUUACUCUGUGCAAGUUGAAAAGGAAACACCUAAACUACAAACCUACAAGUUGUGGCGAAGACGUGUAAUUUCACAUAAACAAAUUAUUUUCGGCUUUAAAGAUUGACCAAAGGAUUUUAUCUGUCUUUGAAAAGAAUGUUCAAAUGGAAAUAUAAAUUAAUUAAUUUGUUAUUAAUUUGACGUGGUAACGUUGGCAAUACCUAAAGGCAUGUGCGUCAUCAUGUCUAAAGUGUGAUUCAAAGAUUUCUGUCACUAGGAACCCGAGCUUCCAAUAACCUGGAAAGUCUUGGCUUUAAAGCAGACGUGGAAUAAGUAGAGGU